UGUGACGGGCCCAUACAGAAUUGACUAUAUGGCUACGAAGAACCUCAUUGAUGCAGCAACUUCGGCCAAAGUUAACCACUUCAUCAUGGUUUCAUCUUUGGGAACAAACAAGGUCGGAUUUCCUGCGGCUAUACUGAAUUUGUUCUGGGGAGUGUUAAUCUGGAAAAGAAAAGCUGAAGAAGCACUUAUAGCCAGUGGUACUCCUUACACU